rnacentral:rRNA from 1 species
UACGUAGGGGGCAAGCGUUGUCCGGAUUUAUUGGGCGUAAAGAGCGUGUAGGCGGCUUUGCAAGUCCGUUGUGAAAACUCGAGCUCAACCUCGAGACGCCGGUGGAAACCAUCUAGCUAGAGUCCGGAAGAGGAGAGUGGAAUUCCUGGUGUAGCGGUGAAAUGCGCAGAUAUCAGGAAGAACACCCGUGGCGAAGGCGGCUCUCUGGUACGUGACUGACGCUGAGACGCGAAAGCGUGGGGAGCGAACAGG